AACUCGGAGCUUAUCAGCUAUUGGUCUAAACUGGUGCCAAUCUGAAAAUUCUCUUUUUUAAUUGGAGGAGCCGCCCUCUAAGCCUCGAAACCUAAUUGGCCCAUGGGAACGUCAGUAGGAGAGGUUUUUGGCGGAACUACGUUGAAAUAAAGGGGCGGGGUUCCGUUGAACCUGUGCACUAGGCCGUCUUUGACUGUCCUUGGACCUUGAGUUAGGUGACAGCCGCUAAGGUUGAGUGGCGGCGUCCUGAAAGUCAGGAACCUUCUGUGGCUCCAAAACGUGGGGUUUCCUCGACAGUAGUGAGGGUGGAAGUUUCCAGGCGGCCCAGCAGGUCCGAAACCUGGAGGCUCUUUAUCAUAUAAAUCCGUGCAACGAAAGAAACUAAAGCGACCCAUCCUUCGACAGACGUUCUGCAUCGAGGAGACAAGAACUUGACAGGUGAAGGCUCAAGAUUCCAGGAGCCAACUGAAGCCCCUUGAGACCCUGUCUCAAACACAAAAUGAAAGGUCAGAAGUAAUAGACCUUUGCUGUGAUAUGUGUGUGCAGAAAUCCGUAAAGUAAAGUAGAAAGGAAGAAUACGCUAAGCGAGCCUUUGCCUGAAACCACAUUUCUUCGGUUUGGUUGUAGAUAAGGCAAAAAAAAAAAAAAAAAAAAAAAAAACGAAAUCCGACCCUAUAGGGAGAUGAUGCCAGGUCUCAAAGGACUUUUGAAUGAAAGUGGAGGCUGGCCAGAAGUGUGUGUUGCUCUAGGAUGGAAAGUCACAGAAUCAAUGAUAUCCUUGCCAGCAACAAUGGGGAUGGGGUGGAGCUCUAACAGGGAAGCCCUUGGUCUUCCUAUGAGGAUACACAAAGUUGUAGUAUUGCACCUUUUUACUUCCUAGCAUCCUCCAGUACUUCCCAUUUUUCUGCAUGAUGAUGAAAAAAGUUCUCAGUCUGACAGUGGAGAGCUGGCAAAGGCUGUAGCGGGGAACAAAGGAACGCACCCAUAUCCUCCUCAGCAAUUACAUGCAUGUGUUAUUGAAACAGUCUUGCUGUGGUUCAGGCAUGCCUUGGACUCAGCCUCCCCAUUCUUAAGAUAACAUCUAAUAACCUUGCUAAGUAAGGAAGAGCCCAAUGCAGGACAAGAUGUUGCACUUCUGUGACACCAGCACUAGAGAGGGGGAGGCAGGAGUUUAAAAUCAUCCUGGGCUACACAAUGAGUUGGAGGCCAGCCUACUGGAUAACACUGCGUGGCAAUAAGUAAAAAAAAAAAUCAUAAAAUUCAGACAGAAAAGAACCAAAAAGAAUGUCAGCAUAUGAUUAGCAAGUAGAAGAAAGAAAUAUGGGGCUGAAGGGUAAUAAGAGGAUCGGAGGAUGUAAUGCAGAGAGUCAAGAGGCUGUCUGGUGAGACGUCUCAGUGGAUAAAACCAUGCACUGCUCUCACAGAGGACUGGAGCUCAGUUCCCAGUAUGCACAUUGUGCAGCUGGCAACUGCCUAUAAUUCCAGGGAUCCAACACCAUCUCCUGGCCUCUAGAAACACAGCACUCCUGUGCCCUCUGUCCUCACAGGCACCAGGCAAACAAUGAAUACAGGCAAAUCACUGACUUAUACAAAUCAACAUGAAUCAAGAAUCAGGGUGAUAGCCAGGCAUGGUAGCACACGCCUUUAAUCCUAGCAGAUUUCUGAGUUCGAGGCCAGCCUGGUCUACAAAGUGAGUUCCAGGACAGCCAGGGCUAUACAGAGAAACCCUGUAUAAAACAAAAAGAAAACCAAACAAACAAACAAAAAGAGUCAGGGUGAUAGCCAGGCAGCGGUGGUGCACGCCUGUAAUCCCAGCACUUGAGAGGCAGAGGCAGGUGGAUUUCUGAGUUUGAGGCCAGCUUGGUCUACAAAAUGAGUUCCAGGACAGCUAGGACUAUACAGAGAAACCCUGUCUCAAAACAAAACAAACAAACAAACAAACAAAAAAACAAAACAACAACAACCCAAACCAAACAAAACCAAACAAAACAAAAAAAUCUCAAAACAACAACAACAAUAAACCAACAAAACAAAAUUAAAAAACAAGCCAGGCGUGAUGUUGCAUGCCUUUAAUCUCAGCACUCGAGAGGCAGAGGCAGGCAGAUUUCUGAGUUCGAGGCCAGCCUGGUCUACAAAGUGAGUUCCAGGAGAGCCAGGGCUAUACAGAGAAACCCUGUCUCGAAAAACAAGAAAAACAAAAACAAACAAACAAAGUGUUGUGCUGGAAUGCAGAGGAUGGUUUCUGGUCAUCUUCAGUCACUCUCCACCUUGUUUCUUUUCUUUUAAACAUUUAUUUAUUAUGUAUACAGCAUUCUGCCUUCAUGUAUCCUGCAGGCCAGAAGAGGGCACCAGAUCCCAUUACAGAUUACAGUUAUUAGCCACCAUGUGGUUUCUGGGAAUCGAACUCAGGACCUCUGAAAGAGUAGCCACUGCUCUUAACCUCUGAGCCAUCUCUUCAGCCCCUGUUUGUUUCUUUAUAUAAAUGUAUAUGGCUGUUUAGCCUUCAUGUAUAUUUAUGCAUCAUGUGGAUGUGUGCUACCCUCAGAGGCCAGAAGAAGACAUUUAAAUCUUCCUGAAGUUACAGACAGUUGUGAGUCUCCUCUGUGCACUGGGAAUAGAAUCUAGGUCCUUUGAAAGAAUAGCCAGUGCCCUUUCCCAUUAAGACAUCUCUCCAGCCCUUCUCCACCUUAUUUACUUACUAUUAAUUUAAUUAUCUUUUGGUAUUUUUGAGACAGGGCCACUCUAUAUAACCCUGGCUGCCCUUGAACUCUCAGGCAGAGAGUAGACCAGUCUGGCCUCGAACUCACAGAGAUCUACCUGCCUCAGGGUCCUAAAUCUUGGGAUUAAUGAUGUAUGCCACCACACCCUGCCCAGGUUAUGUUUUUUUUUUAAAGAUUUACUUAUUAUAUGUAAGUACACUGUAGCUGUCUUCAGACACUCCAGAAGAGGGAGUCAGAUCUCGUUACGGAUGGUUGUGAGCCACCAUGUGGUUGCUGGGAUUUGAACUCCGGACCUUCAGAAGAGCAGUCGGGUGCUCUUACCCACUGAGCCAUCUCACCAGCCCCCAGGUUAUGUUUUAAGACAGAAUCUUGUUACUGAACCUGGAGCUUCCUGUUCUGAUUGGAGUGCCUGUCAAUGUGGUUCCAUGAUCUUCCUCUCUGCCUCCCUAGGUUUGGUUGCCACUAGCAUGGUCCCUCCCCUCCAAAAAAAAAAAAAAAAAAAGCAAGAUGACAAGAGCAAUUUGGUCAAUACUUGGGGUUUGGGAUAUAACUUUGUGAGUACAGCACUGAAACUCAUAAAACCAGGUGUGUGACACAUGCCUAUAAGCCCAGCACUGGAGAAGUAAAAAUAGGAUCCAGGAAGCUGGGGAGAUAGCUCACUAAGUAAAUAACCUUACCAAAGCUGACGAUCUGAGCUCUAUUCCAAGUAUGGUAGGAGGGAAGAAGUAACUCCUGUGCACUGUCCUGUCACUUCCAUGUCUACCCUGGUCAUCCUGACUACAUGAGACCCCAUCUAAAACAAAGUUCCAGGCACAGUGACACACACUGUAAUUCAGGCAGGCCAACCUGGUCUCUUAUCUAUAUAGAAAACUCUAGGCCACUCAAUGCUUCUCAUAGCAAAACUUUGUCUCAAAAUAAGUAAAUUAACUAAUUAAUAUCAAGAAUUUCAAAAGUCAUGUAAAUAAUUAAAUCCAUUUGAGUUUAGAAAGUAGGAAACUCAUUCCAUGUGGAAAAUUAGUUGAAUGGUCUGUAUCUAAGCACAGGACAUUGAGUGUUGUGAUUCUGGGGCUUCACACAUAUUAGACAAGCACUCUAAGCAGAGCUGUUUCUCUAGCUUCAUCCACUUUUGGAGACAGUUUGUGGCACCCAAGCUGACCUUAACUGUAAGAUUCCCCUGCCUCUGUGUGCUAUCACAAGUGCUGUAAUAACAAGAAUAUGCAGGGACCUGAAGAAAAAAGUGAUGAGUCUGUGCUUUACUCUGCUCCACAGCAACCAUUUCUGUUUUUAAUGUGUAUGGGUGCUGAGCAUUUUGGCCUAGGAGGCCAAAAGAUAAUAUCAGAUCUCCUAGAAUAAGAGUUACAGAUUGAGGUUGUGAGCCACCUGACUUGUUUGGAAUAGAACCCUGCAAGAGCGAGUGUUCUUAACUCCUGAGCUACCACUCUUGGCCUCCACUUUCCCCACUUUGAGGCAGGGUAUCUGUGGUUUGAAUGAGAAUGGCCCCAUUGGCUCAUGUGUUUGAAUGCUUAGUUCCCAGGGAGUGGAAGUGUUUGAGAAGGACUAGGAAGCAUGGUCUUGUUGGAGUAGGGGUGACAUUAUUGGAAAAGUGUCACUAGGGGUAGGCUCUAAGACUCUCAGCUACUUCUCCAGCCCCAUGCCUGUCUGCUUCCCAUCAUGAUAGUGGGCUAACAUUCUAAACCUAUAAGCAAGCUCCCAAUUAAAUGAUUUCUUUUUAUAAGAGUUGCUUUGGAGCCGGGCAUGGUGGCACUCAUCUUUAAUCCCAGCACUUGGGAGGCAGAGGCAGGCAGAUUUCUGAAUUCGAGGCCAGCCUGGUCUACAGAGUGAGUCCCAGGACAGCCAAGGCUACACAGAGAAACCCUGUCUCGAAAAACAAACAAACUCGGAACUUCCCACUUCUACCUCCCAACUUACAGAUGUGUGCCACCAUUCCCAGCUCAAAAAUCUUUUUCUUUUUAGGGACAGCGACUCACUGUGUAACUUGCUAUGUAGACCAAGCUGGUUUUAAACUCACAGGGUCCAGCAUGCCUCUGCCUCACAAGCAUUUUACUUUAUUUUUAUUUGACUGUCAUGUUUUGCCUGCAUGUGUCUUUGUGAGAGUGUCAGAUCCCCCUGGAACAUACAGUUGUGAGCAGUGCUGGGAUUGAACUCCGGUCCUCUUAAUUGCUGAGCCAUCACUCCAACCACAAGCAAGCUCUUUAAUUGCGACUAUUGUCAUGCAUGUGUGUACUGGCUGGUUUUGUCUGUCAACUUGACACAGGCUGGAGUUAUUAGAGAUAGGGGCUUCUGUUGGGGAAGUGCCUCCAUGAGAUCUAGCUGUGGGGUAUUCUCUCAGUGAUCAGUGGGGGAGGGCCCAUUGUGGGUGGUAUCAUCCCUGGGCUGGUUGUCUUGGGUUCUAUAAGAAAGCAAGCUGAGGCUGGGCAGUGGUGGCUCAUGCCUUUAAUCCCAGCACUCGGGAGGCAGGCAGAUUUCUGAGUUCGAGGUCUGGUCUACAGAGUGAGUUCGAGGACAGCCAGGGCUACACAUCUCUCCAGCCCAAAAACCCAAUUUUUACCUAGAACUCCAGGCUGUAACCCAGAAAUAGAGUUCUUGCUGACAUGAUAGAACCAAGAAUCCACCCCAACACCAUUAAGAACUGAGCACACUGGUGCAGUACUUACAAUCUAGCAUUCAGAAUGGAAGCAGGAUUGCUAAAGUCAAGAGCACCUUAAACUCCCUAGCAGGAAGCAAUCAAAAUACAAAAACAAGGGAGCUGGAAAGAUAGCUCAGCAGUUCAGAGCAUUGCCUGAACAUCUAGAGGACACAGGUUCAAUCCCCAGUACUCUCAGGGUACACAUUCAUACAUGUAGACAAAUAGACAAAACAUGUACACAUAAAAUCCAAAAAACAAAACAGUAAAGCACCCCCCCCCAAGUCCUCCCUCCUGAAACCCUUCUUUUGAAUUCAGGUAAUAUCUCCUUAAAAUGAUGAGUGUGGGGUGUUCGUUAUCACUAUUAGCUUUAGAGCACUGGAACAUACUUUUACGUCAGUCAGUGGUUCUCAAUCUGGAUCAAAGCAGUAAACAAGGUGACACUGCUAAUUCAGGAGUGAAAAUGUACAGGAGGACAACACAUUCACUUUUAUUUCAGUCAAGUCACAACACUUGUCUGGCUGCUGCCAAGUGCCCACAGCUUCCCAUUUACAGACACACUUUACAGGGUUUCCUGUGACAGUACAGCAAGCCUCUUUGUUCAAACAGGACCAGUCCAAAUUUUCCCUCAAAAAAACAAAACAAAAAAAAAAAAAAAA